UAGGUCCAAAAGCCUCUGCAUCCUCAAAA
rnacentral:sRNA from 1 species